AGAGGACCGGUCUCUGAGGACGACACAUCUUUUUAAAAAGGACUUUUUGCAAUCCUAGUCUACUUCUAAGUCUUCUAAAUAUAUAAAUAAGCUAUGGGGGUCAUCUUAAAGUUUAAGGCUUUGAAUUUCUACUCAUUCUAAACCCUAAAAACUUGUUUUUCCCGUUCCUAUGAUUCUAUUCCAAUAACAAGUUUCUAACAAUCAACGAUCGACUUGAUUCUUCAUUUUUACUCGAGAACUUAUACGAGAAUCAAGUAGAUAUUUGAUUACACUACAACAAAAACGGUCUAUAGCGACACUUUUAAAUGUAGGUACAUGUCAAAAAAGUGCUGCUAGCUAAAAUUACCGACACUUUUAAAAAGUGUUGCUAUAUGUGGGGUCGCUAGGUAUAUAGUGACAGUUAAAGAGUGUCGCUAUAACCUAAAAGAGUGCUGCUAAUUUACCAACAGUUAUUUAAGCAUUUAGCAACCGCCGAAACUCUAUCUCGUUGGCUGCGGUAGCGGAGGAGGACGAUAGUAAAGGCUCUUCGUCUAGAAUUUCAGUGAAUUGAGUGAAGAGAGAAGAAAAGAUGGUAAUUGAUUUUUCUUUUUUUUUUCUUUUCUGUUUGUAAUCGGGCCAAAUGGACUGGGUGUGGUGGAUUGAGUAGAGUAAUCUUUUAUUUUUGGUUGGAUUGGGCUUUAUAUUUAGGCAUUAGUAGAUGUGUUUUUAAGUUUUAACAUAAAUGGGACACUUACUGAAAAGUGUCCCAAACAUGUGUCCCUAUAACCUAAUU
rnacentral:lncRNA from 1 species